rnacentral:rRNA from 1 species
AUGCAAGGCCUCACGGCAUCUUGCAAGAUCGUGCUCGUGAUGUUUCUGCUCGGCUUAGGCUUGGCAGGAGCCACCGCCGACAGCCGUAGGAGGCACAUCUCCAGCAGCCCUGACGAGCCCUGCAAGAAGAUGACGCUCUACCUCCACGACAUCCUCUACAACGGUGUCAACAACACCGCCAACGCGACCGCGGCGCCGGUCACCAAGCCGACGGACCUGAGCACAACGCACUGGAGCAACGGCACCUUCUUCGGCAUGCUGGUGGUGUUCGACGACCCGGUGACGGAGGGGACGGCGCUGCCCGUCGGGGACGAGGAGCCGGCUGCGCGCGCGCAGGGGUUCUACUUCUACGACAAGAAGGAGUCGUACAGCGGCUGGUUCUCCUUCUCGCUCGUGUUCAACUCAAAGGCAUGA